CUUGUGUGUUAUCUGAUUGGAAAGUUUUUCCUACUGACUGACAGGACCAGCAUUUGGUGGCGAAUUGACUUAGUUGAGCACUACAAGUUUAGUGGCUGGUGUGCAAUGGGAGAGCUUUUCAAACGCACCUGAACAAACUGGUCGUCUGUGUUGGUCUACCACAUGUCUCCUGUCUCCUGCCUGUCUGGGCUAAGAAAGUUAUGUUCUUGAAUCUGUGCCUGAGAGACAAAUGAGAGAUUUUAAUUUUUUUUUAAUUUUAUUAUUGUACUGAGUUCAUUUUAAGUAUAGAAACACUAUGAACUAUCCGUAAAGCAGGUGGCUUCUAUCCAGGACUUUCUGCGAAAUGCCUGCGGCUAAUUCUUAUCUCCUGGAAGUGGCAAACUUUUUCAUUUCUUGGAUUGCAACUUUUAACUUACUUUUGAAUACUAUUGCCUCUGUGUUUUACUGCUAUUUAUUGCAGAGGUGCUUAAUAGCCUGUUCUCUCCAGCUAGCCUCCCAAGUCUUAUAUCAUGUGCUACAGUGUCAGCAAAGAGAAAUAUUUAUCAGCUGUUGUUAAAAGUUUGUGGGAAUUCUAAUAUGCUGUGCGCCUUAGUAGAUAUUUAGUAGAUAUUUUACAUUGCAAUAUGAGGGGAUUAUUUUGCUUAUUUAGUGAUGGGAAAGUAAUUUGCAAUUUGAAUCUGAGCUGAAAAGAUCUCCCAUUGGACAAGAUCAGUAAUUUCAGUCUAAGUCUGUUAAGCAUCCUUUCUGUUAACAGCUCAGGAGUUCAGCUAUUUUGGAACCCAUAUCAUGUUUGUUAUUUAGAUAUCAAAAUUCACAUAUGUAUCAAUGAGUUUUAACAACUAAGGAUGCAGAAAUGGAGUUUCUAUGUAAUUAUAAGUACUCUUACAAUUCUUUUAAUAGUUAUGUUAAAGAUUACAUCAUGCGUCCUUGAAUCAUUAAUAAUGCCUAUUUUAAAUUAAUAUUUUUGCCACUUCUCAGAAUAUGCAAGGACCUUAAAAUACUCCAGCUUCAUUUAUUCCACUCAUAAUUUAUAUUCUAUUGUCUUCAUGUAUUUUAAUUCUGCAUAUAUUGAA